rnacentral:lncRNA from 1 species
AUUAAGUAUAAUAGCUACAGAUGUUUCAUGUAUGCCAUUUAUCAAGUUUAGUAGAUUCUCCUCUACGUGGAGUUUUGCAUUUUUUUAAUCAAGAACGAAUGUUCGGUUUUGUUUAGUGAUUUUCUGUGUGUAUUGAGAUAAUCAUAUGGCUUUUCCAUUUCAGUUUACAAUGUUGGUGAGUGUUGGUGAGUUACAUUGACUUUUGAAUUUUUUUUUGUUUGUUUUCGAGAUGUAGUCGCACUCUGUCACACAGGCUGGAGCGCAGUGGCACAAUCCCAGCUCACUGCAACCUCUGCCUCCUGGGUUCGUGCAUUUCUCCUGCCUCAGUCUCCCAGUAACAGGCUGAGGCAGAAGAAUCACUUGAACCCUGCAGGUGGAGGUUGCGGUGAGCUGAGAUCACGCUACCGCACUCCAGCCUGGGCUACAGAGCAAGACUCCAUCUCCAAAAAAAUGAAAAUUAAAAGUAAGUAAAUGUGAAUUUCAGAUAAAUAGCGAUGACUUUUUUGGUUGAAGUAUACCCUAAAUGUUGUCUGGAUAAAAGACACUGAGGUGAGUACUGUGGCCAGGAAGGUAAGAGGGAUGGGGGGCCAACCGACUAGAGACAAGGGAAGGUAUUACUAAGGACACGGCAGUGGAGCUGAGUCCUGAAGUGAUGCACAAGAAGUUAUUUGUCAGGGAAGAAAAUGGUAAGGAGGCCGGGCGCGGUGGCUCAAGCCUGUAAUCCCAGCACUUUGGGAGGCCGAGACGGGCAGAUCACGAGGUCAGGAGAUCAAGACCAUCCUGGCUAACAUGGUGAAACCCCGUCUCUACUAAAAAAAUACAAAAAAAUCUAGCCGGGCGAGGUGGCGGGCGCCUGUAGUCCCAGCUACUCUGGAAGCUGAGGCAGGAGAAUGGUGUAAACCCGGGAGGCGGAGCUUGCAGUGAGCUGAGAUCCGGCCACUGCACUCCAGCCCGGGUGACAGAGCGAGACUCCGUCUCAAAAAAAAAAAAAAAAAAAAAAAAAAAUGGUAAGGGGUUUUCAGGGGUAGGGUAGGAACAGUAGGAGCCAAAGUGUGGGUAUGUGAAUGUGUAGCUAUGUGUGCAUGUAAAAUGGAAAGGAGAUGGAGGGAUGGGUUGGAGCCUGGAUUUGAAUAAGCACAUAUCGGCGCUGGGGUAUUUAGUCUGGGACAGGGAGGCGUUAUUUUAUGGGAGACUGGCCGGGUGGGAUGUGUGC